rnacentral:rRNA from 1 species
AAGCUCGUAGUUGAAUUUCGGGCCUGGCUGGGCGGUCUUGCCGCAAAGCAAGCACUGCUCUGGUCGGGUCUUUCCUUCUGGGGAGCCAGCGUGCUCUUAACUGAGUGCGUUGGGGAUCCAGGUACUUUUACUUUAGAAAAAAUUAGAGUGUUUAAAGCAGGCUUACGCUUGAAUACAUUAGCAUGGAAUAAUAGAAUAGGACUUUGGUUCUAUUUUGUUGGUUUCUAGGACCGAAGUAAUGAUUAAUAGGGAUAGUUGGG